GAUUAGCUCAGCUGGGAGAGCAUCUGCCUUACAAGCAGAGGGUCGGCGGUUCGAGCCCGUCAUC
rnacentral:tRNA from 1 species